UGGGGAAUUUUGGACAAUGGGCGAAAGCCUGAUCCAGCAAUGCCGCGUGUGUGAAGAAGGCCUUCGGGUUGUAAAGCACUUUUGUCCGGAAAGAAAUCCUUGGCUCUAAUACAGUCGGGGGAUGACGGUACCGGAAGAAUAAGCACCGGCUAACUACGUGCCAGCAGCCGCGGUAAUACGUAGGGUGCAAGCGUUAAUCGGAAUUACUGGGCGUAAAGCGUGCGCAGGCGGUUUGCUAAGACCGAUGUGAAAUCCCCGGGCUCAACCUGGGAACUGCAUUGGUGACUGGCAGGCUAGAGUAUGGCAGAGGGGGGUAGAAUUCCACGUGUAGCAGUGAAAUGCGUAGAGAUGUGGAGGAAUACCGAUGGCGAAGGCAGCCCCCUGGGCCAAUACUGACGCUCACGCACGAAAGCGUGGGAGCAAACAGGAUUAGAUACCCUGGUAGUCCACGCCCUAAACGAUGUCAACUAGUUGUUGGGGAUUCAUUUUCCUUAGUAACGUAGCUAACGCGUGAAGUUGACCGCCUGGGGAGUACGGUCGCAAGAUUAAAACUCAAAGGAAUUGACGGGGUCAUAGCUG
rnacentral:rRNA from 1 species